UGUAUUUUCUAUAUUUUGCUAAUUGCCCAUGACGGCGCUGCCCAGUGUCUCUAUAUUUCAUCUGCCUGCAGUCCUGCAGCAUCAAGCUCCUUACAUUAAUUCAACACAGAGAUGCAGCAGCAGCAGCUCUGGAUGACAUGGUCAUGAUGGCACAGUAGGGAAUCAAACCUUUGCUUUCAUUUGCAGAGCAGCAGUGUAACAGCUGACCCAUCAUCCAUUCGUGGAGAAAAAAUAUUGAGAGUGGAAGGAAGGAAUGAUAUGGAGAAGGAAAUAUUGAGCUAAUUACUUUUUUGAAUUGCUGUUUUCUACAAAAAUAGUCAAACGUGAGAGAGAUGAUUUUAUGAAUGUUGUAAAUGCUGCCACUUUCAACCCUGUCUUUGAAAUAUUUGAGAAGUGGAUUCAACAGCAUACUUAGACCUUUAAAGCAGUCAAGCUAUUUCUGUUUGAAAGUAUGAUCCAUAUAAGUACCAAGAAAAGACCACUCCUUUGACUGUUUUUCCUUCACUGCGGUGAAUGUGUAGGAAAGAUGUUGAAACAUGAAGGGUAGCAAAGUCCUACUACAGUUCUUCCAGUCACUCACUCAAGUUCUCUCUUUGCUGGCGGUUUGUUUUCUAUUCUCUGAAAACCUGCAUCUCAAGUGGUUAAAAUCUCUCAAGUACAUCAAAGAUGAAGUGGAAUUUUGAUAUCUUGUUCUUUAAAACUGAGUAUUCAAUGAAUACAGGGAACAUUAGAUGUCUUCUGGUUUUUCCUUUCAUUGUAGACCGGUGAAGCUGUGAAUCAGAAAUAAGGGGGGAAGAAAACAGAGUACAACGCAUUCCUUUUUCCUUUUUGGUUCUGAGGAACAAAAUAAGAAGUUUCCCUUGCCUCUUUUGCACGUCUUGGGAAAGUCACAACAGGGACCUGAAUGGAACACUCCAUUGAGCUGCUCUGAAGUUUUCUGAUGGUUCUGGGGCUAUAUUGUACUUUUCUUCUUUGGCUUUGUAUUCACAAAAGAAGAGCAUGGCUGUGCUGAAACUACAAUAUUUACCAUUUAAUGAAAAACGUGACUGAAAAAGCAAAAAUAAAAUAAAAAUGAGAAGUGAGCUUACCUUGAAACUGUAAUAUGCAGGUAACAACAUCUUUUAUUUUCUCGCAAUGUCAUUUGGUAAGUGUACAGUUGAGGUACGUUGGAUCUUAGGCAAUUGUUAGUCAGUUUGGAUAAGGUCUUUCUUAGAAAAAUAUUGUUUCAUAAAAAUUAUGAACUUGAUAGAAAAAUGAUUAUCUGGUCUAUUCUAUACAAAAUGUAUGUAAUUAUUGCAGGACUACCAUGUCUGCAAUUUGAAUUAUUUUCUAAUACUUUUGUGGUAUUACUCCAGCCCUGCAAAAAUCUAAUUUGUGCUGAAGACUGCAGACUUUUGUAUCUGUUAACUGUUGCUGAUUAAUUAGAGGCUGAAAAGCUUUUCAUUAUCCUUUAAUUUUAUUGUCUUUUAAUUUCAGCGCUAUGGUAGUAUUAAUAAAUUGUAAACAGUGCUUUGCAGACAGCAGCAGGGUACUGGAUGUGAAAGAAAAGAUUCAUUCUUUAGUGGUUUUGUUGUUAGAUGUAAGAAGUAAGCAAGAUGUAGUCUUUGCUGUGAUGGGGCAUUUGACAAGUAUAUCUUCUGCUUCUAGAACCAGCAUGGAAGAAGAGAUCUUGUUCCUCCUACAUUAGGACAGAAAUGUUUUCCUAGAAUGCUUUUUCUUUAGACUGGGCAUACUGUUUUACUACCUGAAAACUGGAGGUAAAAUUGCUUCAGGUGGGCUUGUCAUAACCUGGAGUUGUUCUGCUGGAAGUCAGGAAGACUGAUGCGCAAGAAUGAAGUGAACUCGCAGUGUGAGGAGAAAAGUGUCUAUUUGAAGAGGAAACAAUUACAAACAAAUCUGUCUUCUAAUAGCAAGCAUUCUGAAAUCAGGAUUCUCUGUGCUCCCAUUAAUGUCUAUAUAACACAAAAAUCUCCUCUGAGGACACUGGAAUUGCACAAGUGGUGCAUGGGAGAAAGGAAUGGAGUUCUGAGAGUGAUUGUGAAGACGUUGGAUGCUUUUCCCUGAAGAGGACAAAUUCAUCCCCAGGAAGAAAGGAAAAAUAUGCCGACAGUUUUGCAACGUAUUCUUUAGCAGAUGUUAUGAUGCGAUAGACAUUGGUCCACAGGGAGAGCCACAGAAAUUUGUUUGUGCAUUAAACAGAGCUUUAUGAGAAACAAGAAAUGUUCCUGCUGAGCAAUAGAUAUAAUCCAAAGCGUAUAGUCUUUGUGGGAAACUGGUUCUUACAAAUAAAUAUUUAAUUAACAAGAAAUAAAAGGGAGUAAUAAUGUCUUAACUUAAGAAUACAUUGCUCCAGAAUUCAAAAUUCAGUGUUUUUAAGCCUUGGAUAUUUUGCUGCUAAGUGUAAGAUGUCUGGAAGGAGCUGUCUGUUCAGAUGAUUACAUCUGGCAUCAGGCUUAAAGUCUUUUAUGCUUUGAGAAUUAGCCAUUUGUCAGUAUGCAUAGGAUUGCUCCUAAGAGUUAUACUGAUGACUUCAAAGAUAGAAGCUGAUGAGCCACUUGAAGUACAUAGUUCAGAUAAUAUUUUUUAAAGUAUCCUGACUGGGGAACUUUAGGAGAGAUAGUAAAAUAUUUUAGAGAAAGAGGUAAAAAAAAGAGCAAGAAAGAUUUUCAAAUAGGCCAUUUUUAUACAUAUAUAUGAGAUGAAAUGUAUCCCAGAAUUCCCAAUUAAUUUUGAAAGCAAUGCUUUUAGUGAAACAUCACAAAGCAAGUACAUUAAACUUGUUCUAAUUUUUGUAGGGCUAUGAUUUUAUUGUCAAUGAUUCUUUGAUACCCUUUAUCUGCUGAAGCUGUUGUAAUCAGUUCCUUUGAAUCAAGAAAUAACUGGAAGUUCAUAACAAAAGCACCAGGAAUUCCCAGAACUUAUCCUGCUUUCCACUACUGGGGAACACAAUCAAGAGAAAAAGCAAAUGAAAGAGAAGAAAAGGAGUGAAAGGUGGGAAAUACUUGGGAUUCAUGCAAUUCUAAAC